rfam:Triticum urartu cultivar G1812 contig450099, whole genome shotgun sequence.
UAGGUACUCCCUCCGUCCGGAAAUACUUGUCAUCAAAAUGAAUAAAAUGGGGUGUAUCUAGAUGUAUUUUAGUUCUAGAUACACCCUUUUUGUCCAUUUUGAUGACAAGUUUUUUCGGACAGAGGGAGUAGGUA